AUUGAACGCUGGCGGCAGGCCUAACACAUGCAAGUCGAGCGGAUGAAGGGAGCUUGCUCCUGGAUUCAGCGGCGGACGGGUGAGUAAAGCCUAGGAAUCUGCCUGGUAGUGGGGGAUAACGUCCGGAAACGGGCGCUAAUACCGCAUACGUCCUGAGGGAGAAAGUGGGGGAUCUUCGGACCUCACGCUAUCAGAUGAGCCUAGGUCGGAUUAGCUAGUUGGUGGGGUAAAGGCCUACCAAGGCGACGAUCCGUAACUGGUCUGAGAGGAUGAUCAGUCACACUGGAACUGAGACACGGUCCAGACUCCUACGGGAGGCAGCAGUGGGGAAUAUUGGACAAUGGGCGAAAGCCUGAUCCAGCCAUGCCGCGUGUGUGAAGAAGGUCUUCGGAUUGUAGAGCACUUUAAGUUGGGAGGAAGGGCAGUAAGUUAAUACCUUGCUGUUUUGACGUUACCAACAGAAUAAGCACCGGCUAACUUCGUG
rnacentral:rRNA from 1 species